AUAUAAUUAAGCGGAGGAAAAGAAACUAACUAGGAUUCCCUUAGUAAUGGCGAAUGAACAGGGAAAAGCUCAGUGCCCAAUCGGUCUUCUUACGAAGUUCGACAUGUGGUUUUGGUGGAAGGCCAGUUGAAGUUCCUGUUAAAGUCCCUUGGAAGAGGGCGCCAAGGAGGGUGAUAGCCCCGUUCAUGGCAGGUUACUUUUGACGUACGGCCUCUGCUAAAUGAGUCGCGUUCUUUGGGAAAAGAGCGCAAAAGGGUGGUAAGUUCCAUCCAAAGCUAAAUAUGUCCACGAGACCGAAGCGCACAAGUA
rnacentral:rRNA from 1 species